UUUAGGUCAUCUACAAUUUCACAGUCCUCAAGGUUUGACCGGAACCGGAACCCCGCUGAUGAAGAAAUUGGUCCGGAUACGAUCCUCUUCGAAGGAUGUGAUUAUGAACAUUGGCUUAUUACAAUCGAUUUUCCUAAAGAUACUCAACUCACCAGGGAAGAGAUGAUUGAGACUUAUGUGCAGACUGCUGCUAAAGUCUUUGGAAGGUCAGCAAAUUUCUAUUAUUGUGUAUUUUAUAUGUUACUAUUUUCGGAAGUUGUGGCUUCUGUUUGGUCAAAUUUAAUUUUAGGCUCUGUAUUUACAGGCUUGAUAUAUAUCCGUUAAGUAGGUGCAAUUAUUUGAUGUUGUAGGUACAAGAUGAUUCGAUAAGCUUGAAAGCUAUUGAGUUAAAUAAGAUUGUUGUCAUAUCUUCUGGCUGAACACUUUUAAUUUCUGCCGGAUAUUAAUAUAUUCAUUGAAGAGCUUUAAUUAUUGAAUGAUGUAGUUAUAAGAUCUUUGGUGAGCCGAGCUUGCUGUUUAGAUAGCUCAAGUUGGCUUCAAAGUAGAAAGAUAUGUAUUUGAAUUAAUAAUGAUGAUCACUUCCCUCUGAUACUUUGUUGGUGUUGGUUAUGAUGUCAGUUGUUAAUAUGCAGUCAAUAAGAAAGCCGAAGAAGUAUUACCCGAAAACAUAUAUUGAAUGCAAUCUAUACUGGAACUUGGAAGCUUUGAGUUAUCAACUUACCAUGGAUAAGGGUCCUAUCAGAUAGCUCUAAGUUAGUUGGUAUAUAAUUGAUUCUGCUGCAGUCUUUUGAUUGUUCCUAUUAUUGCCUGCAUAGUAGUCUUAGCAUUAUUGUGUUUGGAAGAUGUUUUGUUCUCUUGUAUAUCACUAAUUGGUGUGAUUUGUGACACCUAUUAAUAGAAUAAAUUAUCUCUUGUUUUUUCCAACUUAAUUGCCUUUAAGUAAAUAUUUGGUUGAAUGUGAUAUCGAAUCAGGUGGAACUUCCUAUCAUUGACCUAAGACUUUGUUGCUUUUUGGCUUCGUAUUGUUUAAAUAAUGCAGUGUGGAAGAGGCUAAGAAAAAGAUAUAUGCCUUGAGCACAACAACUUACAAUGGUUUUCAGGUCUUGUGUUCAGAGGAAACAUCAAAGAAGUUUGAAGGUCAGUGUAUAUUAUGUUGUAUCUUUCCUUCUGAGCAACGAUAAAUUUAUUUUUGGUUUUAAUAUAGAGAUUCUGUCUGCAAUCAGGCCUGCCAGGUGUUGUGUUUGUACUCCCUGAUUCCUAUAUUGAUCCAGUAAACAAGGAAUAUGGAGGUUUGAAUGUUAUUUUUUAUUAGCAUUUCAAAAUCAUGAUUAUGCUUUAUAAGUAUUAUCUUGAAUUUUAUUGUGGUUUCCCUUGUGGGUUUGCUUCUGUCGUGCUAUUAAAAUCAGGUGACAAAUAUAUCAAUGGGGAAAUAAUCGAGAGACCUCCUCCUCCACAGUUUCAAAGACCAUCACGGCCUACUAACAGGCCUCGAAGAGGCCCACAGUUUCAACAAGGCAAUUAUGGCCCACCGCAGAGUCCACCUCAGCAGAACUUUGGGCCACCGCAAGGUGCACCAGCCCAGCAGAACUAUGGUGCAGCACAAGGUCCUCCGCCCCAGCAGAACUAUGGUGCAGCACAAGGUCCUCCUCCCCAACAGAACUAUGGCCAACCAAGAUAUCCUCCACCCCAGCAGAACUAUGGUUCGCAACAGUAUCCUCCGCCACCUCAACAGAUUUACAGCGCACCACAGAGUCCUCCACAGCAAAACUAUGGGCGGCCACAAAAUCC
rnacentral:lncRNA from 1 species